GACGAACGCUGGCGGCGUGCUUAACACAUGCAAGUCGAACGGUAGGGCCCUUCGGGGUACACGAGUGGCGAACGGGUGAGUAACACGUGGGUGAUCUGCCCUGCACUUCGGGAUAAGCCUGGGAAACUGGGUCUAAUACCGGAUAGGACUCCUGGCUUCAUGGUUGGGGGUGGAAAGCUUUUGCGGUGUGGGAUGGGCCCGCGGCCUAUCAGCUUGUUGGUGGGGUAAUGGCCUACCAAGGCGACGACGGGUAGCCGGCCUGAGAGGGUGACCGGUCACACUGGGACUGAGAUACGGCCCAGACUCCUACGGGAGGCAGCAGUGGGGAAUAUUGCACAAUGGGCGCAAGCCUGAUGCAGCGACGCCGCGUGAGGGAUGACGGCCUUCGGGUUGUAAACCUCUUUCAGCUAUGACGAAGCGCAAGUGACGGUAGUAGCAGAAGAAGGACCGGCCAACUACGUGCCAGCAGCCGCAGUAA
rnacentral:rRNA from 1 species